rnacentral:misc_RNA from 1 species
GGACUACUGGGGUUUCUAAUCCUGUUCGCUCCCCAUGCUUUCGCUCCUCAGCGUCAGUUGCGGCCCAGAGACCUGCCUUCGCCAUCGGUGUUCCUCCUGAUAUCUGCGCAUUCCACCGCUACACCAGGAAUUCCAGUCUCCCCUACCGCACUCUAGUCUGCCCGUACCCGAUGCAAGCUCAAGGUUGAGCCUUGAGUUUUCACACCAGACGCGACAAACCGCCUACGAGCUCUUUACGCCCAAUAAUUCCGGACGACGCUUGCGCCCUACGUAUUACCGCGGCUGCUGGCAC